rnacentral:lncRNA from 1 species
CUUUAAUUAGUAAUUAUUCAGAAUAUAUAAGUCUAAAUAAAACAAAAGAAAAUCCACAAAAAUUAGCCUACUUAAUUACAUUAAUAUCUAGUAUUGAAUCAAAAUUAAUAACACAUUUAAAAUCCAGAAGAAUGAAACAUAUACCACCUAAUUAUGAUAAAAUUAGAUUUAGAUAUCCACCAAGAUAUUAUAAAUAUAAUUUAAAAUGAAUAAAAUACAACAAUACAAAGAAUUAAAACAAAUUAUCUCUGAAAAACGUAAAGAAUUAAAAAUAAGAAUAAAAAGACUACAUUAUAAUAUAUUUGCAGGAGUUAGUAAAAAUUCAAUAGAUACACAAAAAGAUGAAAUAUCAAAAUUGGAAUCACAAAUAGAUAGUUUAGAAUAUGUAUAUCAACAUGACCUAUUCACAAUAAAAUGAAUAAAGA